GAUGAAGAACGUAGUGAAAUGCGAUAAGUAAUGUGAAUUGCAGAAUUCCGUGAAUCAUCGAAUCUUUGAACGCACAUUGCGCCCUCUGGUAUUCCGGGGGGCAUGCCUGUCCGAGCGUCAUUUGCAACCCUCAAGCCCGGCUUGUGUGAUGGGUGCCGUCCCCUACGGGACGCGCCCCGAAGGCAAUGGCGGCGUCGCGGUUAUCCGAUCAGCCAAAGUGUAUGGGGCUUUGUCACUCACUUUACGGCCCGGACCGGUGCCAGUCCGAAUCAAUCUUUUUUCUAAAGUUGACCUCGGAUCAGGUAGGGAUACCCGCUGAACUUAAGCAUAUCAAUAAGCGGAGGA
rnacentral:misc_RNA from 1 species